GAUCAUUAGACUCAUGUGAUUCGAGCGUUCCCACUUCUCCAUCUCCUUCUUUUUGUUAGAAGAAGAUGCAUCCUCAAGAGGAGCAGGUUGCUCAAUCCGAAGAGUAAGGUCAAGAUCCAUGCAACCGAGAACAAUCAUGACGUUCUCUUUCCAUUCCUUAAAGUUUGUGCCGUUAAGCACAGGGAUGCUAUUGAUGUUGGCAGAGAUCGUAGAAGCAGAAGAAUUUACUGAAAAUAGAACAAAAGGAUUACUGAUACAUGCUUACAAAUACUUGAACUUUAACUUUAUAGAUUCAAAAUUAGGCAUUUCCCAUUACAAGAUACCUUGCACAACAUUGUUUUUAGUCUUUGGACAGAAAAACAACUUGUAAGUGGUACUCCUUGGUGUAGUGAUCAAACAUAGACAAUAAACUCCUGUCAAAUAUUAAACCUUCCUUUGGGC
rnacentral:lncRNA from 1 species